AGAGUUUGAUCAUGGCUCAGAACGUACGCUGGCGGCACGCCUAACACAUGCAAGUCGAACGAAGUAGCAAUACUUAGUGGCAGACGGGUGAGUAACAUGUGGGUAUCUACCCUUUGGCCUGGAAUAACACGAGGAAACUUGUGCUAAUACCGGAUAAGUCUUUACGGAGAAAGCUUUAUGCACCAUUGGAUGAGCCCGCACUUGAUUAGUUUGUUGGUAGGGUAAUGGCCUACCAAGACUAUGAUCAAUAGCUGAUUUGAGAGGAUGAUCAGCCACAUUGGGACUGAGACACGGCCCAAACUCCUACGGGAGGCAGCAGUGGGGAAUCUUGCACAAUGGAGGAAACUCUGAUGCAGCGAUGCCGCGUGAGUGAAGAAGGCCUUUGGGUUGUAAAGCUCUUUCGUCGGGGAAGAAAAUGACUGUACCCGAAUAAGAAGGUCCGGCUAACUUCGUGCCAGCAGCCGCGGUAAUACGAAGGGACCUAGCGUAGUUCGGAAUUACUGGGCUUAAAGAGUUCGUAGGUGGUUGAAAAAGUUGGUGGUGAAAUCCCAGAGCUUAACUCUGGAACUGCCAUCAAAACUUUUCAGCUAGAGUAUGAUAGAGGAAAGCAGAAUUUCUAGUGUAGAGGUGAAAUUCGUAGAUAUUAGAAA
rnacentral:rRNA from 1 species